rnacentral:rRNA from 1 species
GAUGAACGCUGGCGGCGUGCCUAAUACAUGCAAGUCGAGCGAAUGGAUUAAGAGCUUGCUCUUAUGAAGUUAGCGGCGGACGGGUGAGUAACACGUGGGUAACCUGCCCAUAAGACUAGGAUAACUCCGGGAAACCGGGGCUAAUACCGGAUAACAUUUUGAACCGCAGGGUUCGAAAUUGAACGGCGGCUUCGGCUGUCACUUAUGGAUGGCCCCGCGUCGCAUUAGCUAGUUGGUGAGGUAACGGCUCACCAAGGCAACGAUGCGUAGCCGACCUGAGAGGGUGAUCGGCCACACUGGGACUGAGACACGGCCCAGACUCCUACGGGAGGCAGCAGUAGGGAAUCUUCCGCAAUGGACGAAAGUCUGACGGAGCAACGCCGCGUGAGUGAUGAAGGCUUUCGGGUCGUAAAACUCUGUUGUUAGGGAAGAACAAGUGCUAGUUGAAUAAGCUGGCACCUUGACGGUACCUAACCAGAAAGCCACGGCUAACUACGUGCCAGCAGCCGCGGUAA